UACGUAGGGUGCAAGCGUUAAUCGGAAUUACUGGCGUAAAGCGUGCGCAGGCGGUGAUGUAAGACAGAUGUGAAAUCCCCGGGCUCAACCUGGGAACUGCAUUUGGUGACUGCAUCGCGUGGAGUACGGCAGAGGGGGAUGGAAUUCCGCGUGUAGCAGUGAAAUGCGUAGAUAUGCGGAGGAACACCGAUGGCGAAGGCAAUCCCCGUGGGCCUGUACUGACGCUCAUGCACGAAAGCGUGGGGAGCAAACAGG
rnacentral:rRNA from 1 species